GGCAAUGACGGCAUGAAGGGAAGGACAUGGCGGUGAGGAUGGAGGUUGCUUUCACACACACAUGGCAUCAAAAGUGGUCUGACACACGAUUCUUGGCUAUAAUAAUCCGGUUGUAACUGAGACCAAUGACAACGUAGGGACGUGGUGGCACCCUGACAGGAGCAAGAGGUAUAACUGUCUGGUAAGCAUGACAAGGCAAAGAUGACCAACGUGUGUCAUGCUGCCGCUGCCCGAGGUUCUAUGCGCCUCUGUGCUCCAGCUAUAACGAGAGUGAAGGUCCUCAUUGAGUCUCAUCGCCGCAAAACCAGUCUUGCCUUAACUCUGAACCCCCCACCCACCCCGGCCAGCCUGCUUGCCAGCCUCUCACCUAUACACAGCUUCCCAUUAUACUCUUGCUCCUUGCCGCAACCGCUGGCCUCGCUCUUUUCUACUCAUAUUGCCGAGUAUGGAUUUCCAUCGCGUUAAAAGGAUAAAUUCUUAUGUUCUUUUACAAGAAGGACAUCAAGACAACUUUGGAACAAAAUUAGAUGAAUUGCUGUUAUGUCCAAUCUUUUAUUUAUGGAAAAUUACGUUGCGGGCUUUUUUUUUUUUUCAUUUCAUCCGGCUCUUGGAGUGUUUCCUUUGAAAAAAAUAUUGAGCCAGCCAUACUGAUUGCUAUUACACGUUUAUCCCUUGAAACAAGCAUUGUAACCCGAAUGUGCAGCAUCAGUCCCUUAUAACUAAUAUCUAUCUAUCUCCGACGCCCUGUUCCAUCACGAGAACUUCCCUCCAGAGGAUUGCCGCAGCAGAAGUGUCUCCAUAUCUCCCUUUUCUGGCACUCCCUCUCACCGCAUUCAAUCCUGCUGCUUCCAACUCUCUCGCUCCAAACUGGCUCACCCAACUGAUCCACUUCACAGGUGGUCUACUGGUCUUCCCCUGACACCCCAUUCCUCAAUCCUUUCCUUAUACACUGCAAAUUCAUUUUCACCACGUGCCCAAACCAUCUCGGCGUACCACGCUUCAGCCGUUCGACCACAUAACAGUUCACUCCCACUCACACCAAACUUUUCAAACAUGCUUUCAUUACUUUCUCCAUUCCAUCCUGAAACACAUGCACCUCUAAUAACAACUGAUCAGCCACAAAUAACUAUUAAUCAGCGUUAAUACCAAAUUGGCAUCGCGUCUACGAACAUAUCGGUAAGGUGUCCAGUAAAAGUGACUAAGUAUACUCUCGUCUGACCACAAAAAAAACUUAGAACCUUGUCCAGUGGCCCCGGCAAACAUUUCUUAACAUAGGCGAUGCGAUUCUUUUUGUGGCGUGCUGUUAAUAAAGGCUUCCGUGCUGCACGACGUGAUUACAGGUUCAAAUCGUCAUGAAGGUAACGAGAGGCACUCAAUGACACAUUUUGUAGGUCUCUUACUUUGUUUAAUGUCACGGGCUGUAUUCGUAGGAUGACUGAUCAGCUGUCUCUUGACAACAUUCAAUGUCUUUUUACUAACUUUUCUGAUUUUUCCUGGCCGUUUUGAAUGACUGGUUAACAAUUCAUCAGGACUCUCGCGGGCACUUUUUCACCCAUCGCCUUACACUCUGUUAAGAAACUCCUGUUGCAUCCUCAAAUUGUUUUGUGCUAUAAUGAGCUUUGUAUAAAGUGUGAAUAUGGGUGAUAGUCUCCCGGCUCAAGUCCGGCUUACGCCCCAUUUCCUGGUGAGACCAUCCGAAAUGAAACGUUCAAUUUACGGUAAAUUUAAAAUCUUGGAGAUCAGUGAAUGUAGUCGCCACACCGUACAACAUGCAACAUAUCCAACUGAGACAUACCCCACUCAGUUGCCAAUUAUCUGAAUUAAAUGCCAGACACACGAUAAAUGCAACUAAUCCUAUGAUGCCAAGGGGAUAAAUGAAAGUAGCCAAACGAAUGCUCUCGGACAAAUCGCGGCCGAAUUCAAUGGCAUAGACUAUAUACGUUUGUCCCUUGCAACAAGCACUGUAACCCGGGUAUACAGAAUCAGUGCUUUUUAUUAAUCUGCGUACCCCCGCUUUACGGAUUUGCUGCACUGCGUGGAUACGAAAACCCGUUAAUACCUAAAUAACUAUAAAUCAGCGUCAAUCCCGAAUCGGCAUCUAUGCAGUGAAUCGCGUCGGCAGGAUAGCCAGCGGGAGCAACCGGUCUGGGGAGAAGGAGGGGAACACCGCAAAGCAGACUACGGCGAGUGUUGCCCGAGUCUUGGUCUGCAGACCUGACACCUUCAUUCCUAAGACACACCAGAGGAAAGGAACAAGAUUCAAAGUCAACUGGGAUAGAAGAGAAAGGAUGCACCAUCUCCUUCAGGAUUUUGUUUGCAGACUUUAAUUUUAUUUCAAGAUCCAAAGAGCUGCAAUAAUGAAAAAUAUUUACUCAUCAUCAGAUAGCAUUCCUAAAGUUGAAAACUACACAAAUCUUCAUACAUGCAAGAGGGGAGAGUUAAGAAAAAAAUGGCAUUGUACUUUUCUUCUUCUCAGUUGAGAAGACAUUAGGAGAUUGAAAGCAAACUUUCACCAAGCGAAAGGUCCUUUCAGUGACAAUGAGUUUACAUCACAUGAUACUCGUGUUGCCAGCUACACAUCAGGGACAAUGAUCAUAGAAAGAUGUGUUCAAAAUUAUCAGCAAUGACUGUAAGAUUAGAGAUAAGUAUGAUGACCAAGAAUUGCAUACGAAGUUUCCUGUUCCUUUAAUAUACAUACCAUUUCACAUUCUUCACAUUACAUUAUAAUCCUUGAAAUAAAAGUGUUUUACACUGAACCAAAUAACACUUAAUUGAAGAGGUGCAGAACCUGUCCAAACACAAGUGACAACAAGAAGGAAGCUCCACACAAGGCAUCGAGGCCAACACCUGUGGCUGGUGAGGCUGCCCUGCGCUGCCCUGCGCUGCCCUGCUCCUCGCACAGGGGCAGGAGGAUAGCCCCCCAACACUACCAAUAAAUACUCAAACAGGGAAUGGGGGAAAUAAGAACACAUACAAACCACUACAAAAGUACAAAGGAAAUACAUUACAGAAAGCAAUGGAAGGAGUCUUUCAUAAAUAAAUAUGACAGAUUCAUUAGCAAGUUACAAUUAACAUUAACCAUAAACUGAUAUAUGAAAAUCAUCUGAACAUUAUCCCAGUACUCUUAAAAAAAUAUACAAUCAAAUAUAAUAUACACCACAUACCAAAAGAAUGUUCUGGCAAAACUCUUUAAGAAUGUAAAAUCAUAUGCAAAUAAUGUUUCUGGUGCAGUGAAUCCCCAGAAGUUCACCGGGAAUGGUAUUUCAUAUAAUGUACCACGCCACGACGCUGGCAACUUAAUAAAUUUAUCCUGAGAUGCGAUAGCACAUGGAAGCUUUUGCAUAAUAAAAAAGACCACACAACUCUAUCAAGCUCAAAGCUACAAUGGACAUGUGUCAAACAAAAAUAAUAAAUAGGUGGGAGAGGGAGAGAGAAAAAUAUAUGAUAAAUAAAGUGACCCAGACAAUCUCUCAAAGUGGAUUCUUCUCAGAACAAAAGUGGAUCUAUUGCAGAUCAAACUUUAUUCUUUUACUGCAGUGUGUGUGUGUGUGUGUGUGUGUGUGUGUGUGUUUACCUACUUGUGGUAUACGGGAUAUGAGCUAAGCUCGUGUUGUCCUGUCUCUAUAUUUACUUGUGUGUGUGUGUGUGUGUGUGUGUGUGUGUCCCCUCUUAUAAGAUGCACAAACACGCACACACACACACACACAGGAGGAGAGGCACACCUACUGUAGUCCCACACAGCAACGUAUGAUCAAUGAUGUUUCAGUGACUACAUUCACACUAGUAUAAAAUGAAAACCUAACUCUGUACAUUGAAGUGGGACAAAUUGAGGUCAACUCUAUGUAAGUUCAAAAAUAAUGGGAUAUUCCAACUGCAUCCCAAUUUGUACUUUUUACUGACCUGCAUAUGAAAUAAUGUUUUUCUUUUCUUUUCACAAAUUACAAGAGAAGAAUCCACCUGAGUGAUAGAACCGUAAUAUCAAAUCAUAGACACAAUAACAUCCAUAACCCAGCAGUGUUCCAUCAGCUCAUGUGCCCCUAAUAGCGCAUACAAAAUAUAUCUCUAACAUACACUGAAGUGCACACACCUCAAGAGUGCUAGAAUUACUAUAUUUAUAUAUAUUAUUUAUAUAUGUACACACAAUUUUCACGCCAGCCAACGAAAAUUAAACAGGACACUCGACAGACACUAUAGUCACUGAUGCCAGACUCCCGGGUCUCCUACGCUUUCUGACUCACGAGUCUCACAAAAGUUUUAAAUUAAGGAUUAUACUACAUACAUUAAUCAAUUUUGAAUUAAAUCCUGACCAGCAGAUGACUAGUUCCUGAAUCUGAAAAAAAAAUCACUGGGCAGAUAAAAGCCUAAAGAAAUUUAAUGUGUAAUAAAAAUAUUGAAGUGAAUGCAGCUGCAGACUUGCCAUUAUUCCCCAUAAGUGAAGCUGGCCACUCCAUCACUGACACCCACCUAACAUGAGUUCACUCCUACAAAUGGUAUAAACAAUGAGCAAAUUCUUAUUACACUAAUAAUAAUAUAUAUAUUUAUUUAUUUAUAUCUGUAUUUAUAUGUGUAUAUCAGCCAUAUUUAAGUCUUCACUCUUGUACUGAUGGCCCUAGUUUCUAGGGUUGAUAAUUAGCAUGGAGGACUGACUGCCAAAACUUAAUUUCAGAUAGGCUUUUGCCAACAACGAAAUGCGCUGCUCCUCCAUAAAACGAAGAACUUAGUAAAUAUGACUGAUAAUUGAGCGGAAGAGAUACUGCUGCCUUAAAUUACAUUAUGAUUAGGGAGGGAGAAUCAAUCUGUCAGCGGGUAAUCCCGUGACAAGCAAAACACACAAGAAACACUACCAUCUAUGUGCAAGAAGCUCAUCAUCAGAGCAGAGACAGAGGCAAGCAAACACAGGUCCAAAAGCACUUGGAGCUAAAACGGUGCACCUUGUUUUGCUGGCAUAGAAUCACAAAAAUCCCUCCUCCAACGUGUUUCUGCCGCGGCCUGCCUCUAGCACAUGGAAACGAAGAAGUGUUGCCAAAAAGAUUUAUAUUGUACUCAAAUACUUGUACCAGGUCUAGCACUGCCAUCAACUUACCAAAGAUAUUUCUGACAGAUUACAUUUUACUUUUUAGCUUUAUUCUGACAGCCGCAGAGGACAGUUUUUGACUUAUGACCUUUAGCAGUGAGUGAUCACAUUAUGCACUCAUUUCUGCUAAUAAAAUGAAAAAAUAUACCAUCAAAUUUGGUGAAGUAGGUCAGAGUACACAUCAGCCCGGCCCCCUGAGUCUGCUUGUCUCCUCCCUCACCACUACACUAUAAUAUACACAAAUUUCUUGUAGAUUCUAACAGAGCUCAUUCAAAAAACCCUAACAUCUGCUUCUAUCAGUGACAUUAAAUCUCACUAUGUGAAACUCUUAAUAGUAUAUAUCACAUAAAAAAUACCUGAAUGUUGGAAAACCAUUCAUGGUGUUCAUUUAUGCCACAUUUAUAAAAUGUGUCUUUCAACAAUGUGUAUGCUAUCAUAUUUAUAUAGAAAAAAUAAUGCUUUCAUAUCAUUUCUAUUGAAAAGUCAAACAAGACAGCUAAUCCAGUCCUAAAUGUCAAAUGCAAAAACCUUACAAAUAUUGACACUACUGGCCCAGCAAGAACCAGCCAGCCAGGGGACAAUGGGGGCAUGAUCAAUGGCAGCUUCCCUCACCCUGUGCUUGCACAUGCCUCACAAAACCUGACACUCCAGACAAGAAAGUGUGAGGUGGCUGAGGACACUCCCAACACCAUCAGUGUGAGGAUGACUGACAAAGAAACAACGAAGGAGUGAGGGCAGCAUACAUCUAACCAAGACAACCUGAGUCAAUAGAUGAAGGCUUUUUCUAAUGUAUGUGAAACUCAAAUCUAUCCGAGAGUGAACCUGUGAGUUAUCCUACCACUGUCAGAGAUCUGAAAUGUUCAUGUCUAAAGUAAAGCUUCAGUUCCUGCCACUGUAACAUCUACCUGUUGAUUUUUUUCUGGGAUAUGUACUAAUUCUUGCACUGUCCUAAUAUGUAUUCAUGUAUUUCCUUAUGAAGGCAAUUUCUGUUGGACACUAAUAACUGGGAACAUUUAAAAAUAUAUAUGAAAAAGACCAAGUAAGUAGAAAUCAAUUCUAAAUAAAUUCCAAACUUACAGAUCUGUUCUGUGCCUAUAACUAACCUUCCAAAGCUCUUGCACUGACUUGAUAGCUGCUUGACAUCCAGCACCAACGCUGGACCUCAGCCUCCACAAAUGAUUGUCUCUAAUUAAGAAGCUCUGGCCUGCCCUACCUCAGGUCCCUAACUCUACCUGCCAAGUUCUUGUUAGUUCCUUUUUUUUGCUACUUUGUGCCGGUUCUUUGAUGUUCAUGUGAUUGAUUUACGUCAAUAUAAAUUCUAUCACCAUACUAAAAACCCGAACAUGCAAGUAAUUUAGAAUUGAUAAGAAUCACCAUUAGUCUUGAAACGAGCCCAGAGAAUAUUACAAUACUCAGUCAAUACUUGAAUAUUAUUAUUAUUAUUAUUAUCAUUAUUAAAAACACCACCCACGUCACUCUGGUGUGGUUGGUAUAGUGCUGGUGUUUACACACUUUUGCCUAUGCAGUGAUCCAGGACUGUCUGAGGUUUGAAUCCUCUGCCAGCUUGGAAACACCAAUCAAUCAGCCAUUACAUGUGGCUCCCAAAAAUUGCUCUAGAUUAUGAAGUGAAUGAACAGUUUUGUCAUAUGUAUAGGCAAAGGUAAAAAGGUACUAAAGCUAUGACUGGUCCACUGAAAAUAUGCACUAAACACUGGUAGAUCCUGACAUAAAGACCAAUUAACAUACUGAGAUCAAUAAAAAUAAACUUACUUCAAUUCUACAGAUGACAAAUAUGAUAUAAAUAAUACAUUCCUUACCUAGUCUACUGGGAAUAAGUAUUUUGGCAUACAAUGAUGGUCAAAGACACACUUAAAAUGCAAGAUGAGUAAGUAAGAGUAUGAGUAAUGUGACCUAACAUAUUCUUUUAAUGUGGGGAGCUGUACUGAUAUCUACAGUGACCCACAGUCCCCUACAGACCCUUGGUUCCCAGCUGCCUCGGGACUCUGCCAACAUCCCAGCUAAAUUCUCGGAAAAAUGGCAAAACUUUACAAAACUAAUGAGAUCAAACAGGAUUGUCCCCUGACUGGCAAGCAUUAUAGACCAAAAAAAAAAAAAAAUAAAUAAAUAAAAAAAAAUAAAAAUAAAAAAA